rnacentral:rRNA from 1 species
GAAAGGCCAAUCAAACCGGGAGAUAGCUGGUUCUCCCCGAAAGCUAUUUAGGUAGCGCCUCGUGAAUUCAUCUCCGGGGGUAGAGCACUGUUUCGGCAAGGGGGUCAUCCCGACUUACCAACCCGAUGCAAACUGCGAAUACCGGAGAAUGUUAUCACGGGAGACACACGGCGGGUGCUAACGUCCGUCGUGAAGAGGGAAACAACCCAGACCGCCAGCUAAGGUCCCAAAGUCAUGGUUAAGUGGGAAACGAUGUGGGAAGGCCCAGACAGCCAGGAUGUUGGCUUAGAAGCAGCCAUCAUUUAAAGAAAGCGUAAUAGCUCACUGGUCGAGUCGGCCUGCG